rnacentral:rRNA from 1 species
GUGUCAGCAGCCGCGGUAAUACAGAGGGUGCAAGCGUUGCUCGGAUUUACUGGGCGUAAAGCGUACGCAGACGGUGAGAAAGGUCGGAUGUGAAAGCCCCGGGCUCAACCCGGGAACUGCAUCCGAAACCAUCUCGCUCGAGUGUGGGAGAGGGAAGCGGAAUUCCUGGUGUAGAGGUGAAAUUCGUAGAUAUCAGGAGGAACACCGGCGGCGAAGGCGGCUUCCUGGCCCAUUACUGACGUUCAGGUACGAAAGCGUGGGUAGCAAACAGGAUUAGAUACCCUGGUAGUCC